rnacentral:rRNA from 1 species
CCUACGGGAGGCUGCAGUGGGGAAUAUUGCACAAUGGGGGAAACCCUGAUGCAGCGACGCCGCGUGAGUGAUGAAGUCUUUCGGUUUGUAAAGCUCUAUCAGCAGGGAAGAAAAUGACGGUACCUGACUAAGAAGCCCCGGCUAACUACGUGCCAGCAGCCGCGGUCAUACGUAGGGGGCAAGCGUUAUCAGGAUUUACUGGGUGUAAAGGGAGCGUAGACGGUCCUGCAAGCCAGAUGUGAAAGCCCGGGGCUUAACCCGGGGAUUGCAUUUGGAACUGUAAGGAUAGAGUGUCGUAGAGGCAGGCGGAAUUCCUAGUGUAGCGGUGAAAUGCGUAGAGAUUAGGAGGAACACCAGUGGCGAAGGCGGCCUGCUGGACGAUGACUGACGUUGAGGCGCGAAAGCGUGGGGAGCAAACAGGAUUAGAUACCCUGGUAGUC